rnacentral:rRNA from 1 species
ACUCCUACGGGGAGGCAGCAGUGGGGAAGUAUUGCACAAUGGGGGAAACCCUGAUGCAGCCAUGCCGCGUGUGUGAAGAAGGCCUUCGGGUUGUAAAGCACUUUCAGUAGGGAGGAAGGUAGUGUAGUUAACACCUGCAUUAUUUGACGUUACCUACAGAAGAAGCACCGGCUAACUCCGUGCCAGCAGCCGCGGUAAUACGGAGGGUGCGAGCGUUAAUCGGAAUUACUGGGCGUAAAGCGCAUGCAGGCGGCCUGUUAAGUCAGAUGUGAAACGCCCGGGGUCUUAACCGUCGGAAUUGUCAUUUGAAACUGGCAGGCUAGAGUCUUGUAGAGGGGUUAGAAUUUCAGGUGUAGCGGUGAAAUGCGUAGAGAUCUGAAGGAAUACCGAGUGGC